AAAUGAGGCCAGGAUUGAAGAGUUUUUGGUGUAUCAAAAGCAUCUACUAUAUCCAUCCCAGGUAAAUCCACCAGCACUUGGCUAACUACGAAAUAGUAUAAAAAACUGUUAAUCAGAUGGCAAAGCUACCUAUGAGUUUUGAUUAUGCAACAAGUUUUAAAGUUAUAUUUGACACCAAUUUGAGCGGAGCUUAGAAGAAGGGAUAAAUUAAAGAGCUCAGCCGUCAUCCUCAUCAUCCACAUCGUCAUCAUCGUUAUCCUCUUCAUCAUCAUCAUCAUCGUCGUCA
rnacentral:misc_RNA from 1 species